rnacentral:rRNA from 1 species
CCCCCACCCACUAUCCCCCUUCUCCAUCCCCGUGUCGUUUGCUGUAAGCAAUAAAUCCCUAACAUACUUCGCCUAUCUCCCGCCUCCCCCUACGCCCCCCCCCGUAUGCCUACACGCCCUCCCCCACCCCUCCCGGCCCCGCCCCGUCCCUCCUCCGCCCCCCCACGUCCGUUCUCACCCUCUCCCCUUUCUUCCCCCACCCCCGCCUCCCCCCACCCUAACAUCAUAUUUCACCUUCUCGCGACCUCCCUCCCUCCUCUGCUGCCCCCCCCUAUACAUUUCUCCCUUCUCAUUUACCCCCCCCUCACUGCCUCCCCCGUUAUCAUCCGACCUCCCGGUCCCCCUCCAUGACGUUUUCUACCCUUUCUUUUUUAGCGUCCUCCCCCCGCCUCCGUUCUAACCCUCCCCUCCCCGCCCACCGCGACACGAACCCUUCCACACUCCCGUACGGAGCACCCANACCUUCCACAAUGCGNACCACCCCCCNCUCNCGCNACCNNCGGAAUCGCGGGCACAANCCGAGUAAGGUCGCACGCCCUCCAANCCCNANGCCANNCCACAUUCGGGUCANCNNNGUGNUNCAACGCAUGGAGNAAAGGUGCGCGAGACCGCGAGGCUUAGCCAAUCCCAUAAAACNAUUNUCAGUUNGGAGUGUAGGGUGCAACUUNCUUAAAUGAAGCGGGAAUCGUUAGUAAUCGUCUAUCAGCAUGCCACGCCGAAUACGAUCCCGGGUCUNCUACACNCCGCCCGUCACACCACGACAGUUUGUAACACCCGAAGUCGCUGGGGUAAUCGAAAGGCACCAGCUGCUUAAGGGGGGACAGAUGAUUGGGGUGAAGUAGCACACUAGUAGACACGCCGCCGACAUGGGGCGCGGCAGCAUGCAACGACGUGGGGCAAUAAUCCGUCUAAUAGUACGUGACAUA